UUGAAAGGGAAACGAUUGCAAUCAGUCGUCCUGGCAUGAAAUCAACUUCCCACGCUUGAAAGUGUUUGCGGGUGAACCUAAAAACCAUUGCCUUACAUUUUCGGGCGAGCAGGGCACUUUUGUGUUCGCUGGUUACCCUCAAUUUCGACCGUCAUAAAAAGGCCGGGGGGAUUCGGCCCCUUCGGGAGUGUUAUAACCCUUAGCGGAAUGUGGUGGACGAGAUUGAGGUUUUCAACGGGGGACGCUUCUCCAGGCCUCUCGCCGGCGUCUUGGCGGCGACAGCUCGCUGACGUCUUAAGAACCGCAGUCGAAAAGGUUAGAGCGGACCGAUUCGUUAAGGAUGUUGACGUA
rnacentral:rRNA from 1 species